CCUGGCUGCACCUCUCCUAGACCUAUGUAAGUGCUGACUGCCACUGAGGAAGGAUCUCUUUCUGGAGAUCACUAUUUGUGGGAUUUACUGGGAGCCUACGAUGCUGUGAUGUAGGAGCUGAGGAACCAGGCCAGCCUGAAGAUGGAUUUCUGAUGUCAUUGUCCAGCAGUGCUUCACACAGCACUGAACUUUGGAGUCCUGUGGCCCCUCAAGCAGUCAUCCAAAGUUUUACGCUGCAACUGAAUUACCAGGAAGAGUAUUAGUGGUCCUGCAAGGACAUCCUGACUCCAUAUGGAUGAAUUUGCCACUGCUUGCAAGGUCUCCUUGAAAAGAAGAGAAAGAGCAGUCAGCACCAGCUCAGAGCUUCCUUUUAUGAUGAAAUGUCUUCGGUCUGAGCAGCAGGAAAAGGAUCAAGUGAGUUGACCUCAAAUCUCUUCCAACUGCUCCUGAUGGAACCUGGGUUGGAAAGAUUCACAGAUGCUCAUACAAAAUUGGGAAAAGAAGGCAUCUAACGUGAUUCAUGAAGUGAGAUAUCCCAGGCCUUUGGUGAUGCUGAAAGAAACACUUCUUAUGCAGUUGGGAUGUGCCAGUAGUAGAAAAAAAAUGUUUUCAUUGUCAGGAGUAAUGGACAUCACUGUAAUUGACUGCCACAAAUCCCAUAGGCUGCAAAAGGCAAUGAUAAUCUCUCUUGUAUUUCCAAGUUGCAUGGGAACUCCCAGACAAACCACUGCUGCCUUCUGUGGUAGAUAUUUUGCAUUCUCAGGACCGAGAUUGUUCCUCCUUUGUGUUGAUCUUCUGCUCCAGCUAGAUCUGCAUGUGUCUGCAGAACUGCCAUGGAGGGGAAGGAAGAGGACAGUCGGGCUGCCUUCCAGACUUUACUUCCAGAGACAAGAGCUGAUGCUGUGAGCAACGCAGUAAUUCCACACAUCUGGAAGCAGAGGAAGCAAGCUUAGACCUCUGUGUUGUGUAGUAUCCAUGGAAAUUUCCUGUGGGAAUCUGUUCCGCUGCUGAACUGCUCCAAAUAACAGAGUAGAUGCUUCUCUGAGGAAAUUAAAGAUACAUCACAUAUAGUUCAAAGGUCUGUCCAAAGUCUGGUUCGAGUUUUUUCUUUAACGUUCAUAUGCUUUAAAAGCAAGUAGCCUUAUUGAACGCACAGAUGACACCAGGCUUGGAGAAAUGGCAAGAGCGAUGGAGUGCAGGACUUGAAGUCGGAAUGAUCUUGCCAAAUUGAGUAGUGUUCUGGUAAGAAAAAAAGGUCAACUUCAGUAAAGACGAGGUGACAAGGUACUUAGUGAGAACAAGUAGCCAAAUGCAGGACAGAGCAUGACUAGCUGGCUAGUAUCUUUUAGAGGAGAGAUCAUAGAGAAUCCCAAGCCAAACCUAAGUUACUGACCAGGAGUGCUAUCUUCUGAGCUGUAUAAGCAAAAGUCUUGCCUACAAAACAAAAAUAUCAAUUUUCUUAUCACAUUAGUGAGUCCUUGGCAGGAGGAUCAAUUACACCUGAUAUGGGGCAGCAGGGGGGAGUUGCUGCAUUCUGAACUUUAGUACACCGACAUGCAUUCCUGGUGCCUCAGUGUGCUCAUUGCCCUGCUGCCCUCCUCAGCUCCUUAGGGCUGCUCCAGUUCUCACUCCUGUCGCAGCCACCAACUGGACUGUGCCUCUGUGCUCCCAAAGGAGGCUCUAGGGACAGGGCAGGAAAGCAGCUGAAGGGUUUUCUGUGUUUCAACCUCACAACGUGUGUCCCCUAUUAAAAUAUAGAGGCGAUACAAGAGCAGGCAAUACAUCACAUGUUUUUAAUACAGCACUUGAGAUUUGAGGCUUAAAUAUGGGAAGUCCCAUCUUAUAAAGGCUAUCUGCCAAUCCCAGUUGCUUUGAGAAAAAUGUGGAUGACCUGGAAAAGCUCCAAAGGAGAGCAAUAAGAAUGAUGAGCUGUCUUGGAGGAUUGACAGAAAUGGGGUUGCUGAGCUGAAAGAAGAGAGCACUGAGGAGGGAGAUGGCAAUAACCGUCAAAUGUAAAAAUGCACUGCUGCAAAGAAGAAGGGAAUAAUCUGCUCGCCAUGCUUAUGUUGGAUGAAACAAAAAUGGGAGUUUUUUAUAUCACUGAGGAAAAUUGAGAGUAGAUGUUAGAAAGUGCUUCUGGACAGGCAGGACACUGAAAUCGGAUUGCUAGGUGAAGGAGCUGGGACGUGAAGAUAUUUGAUAUUUUUUGCUGUGAUGUUGACAACGAUGGCUUUUUUAGGUACUGCCUUUCCCUGAAUCCUUUGUGACACACCUAUCAAAGGAAACUAGGGAGAUCACCUGGAUAGGUAUGAUAGCUGAUGGUCAGACUAUAUCAAUUGCAUGCCUUCUGCAGUGUUCAUGAACUUCAUAGUCCUUAUAUUUGCUCCAUCAAGUUAUCAGAGAUGUUUAAAUUUUGGAAGGUAAAUUUUCUUAAGUCUUUGAAGGGUUAGAAAUUCCAUUCCCACUGAAAAUCUUGUCCCUCCAUAUGGAGGUUCCAAGCUCAAUUUGCCAAGAGUUCAUGACACUAUGAUGGGAAACCACAAUCCUGUAAGAACAAUAUACAUUAAUCAAGGAAGAACUGCCAAAACUGUGAUUAACUUAUCAUUUUAAUUACAAUACAUGAUGAAACAUCUAUAUUAAAUAACUUUAGUAAUGGCUGAGCAUUGCAGUACAAGCUGUAAUAUGAUUUUUCUGUAAGAUAUUAAUUUGUCUUAAGACUUGAUUUUUGUCUAACACAGGUAAUGAUUUUACACGGAUAUCUUCAUAGCACAAAAUGAAUUAUUUCUGAACAGAG